rnacentral:rRNA from 1 species
UCUCUCUGAAUCUGCGAACGGCUCCGCAAACCAGUUGUAAACUAUAGCAAGCAAUCCUCGGCUGGGCUUCGGCUCGGUCGGGGUAACAUGGAUAACCCUGGUAAUUCUGAGGCUAAUACAAGAACGUACUCCCUGGCUGACCGGCAACGGAAGGCUGGGGGACGUGCAAUAGUUUUCGUAAGAUGAACCGGGAAAGGGUGCACGUUCGGACCGCGCUAAAGACGAAUCUCGGUGAGCCCGCAAGGGUGAGCCUUGGCUCGAGCGGCUCUUGCGGUGUGCUUCUGACCUAUCAACUAGAUGGCAGCGUAAGGGACAUGCUAUGGUUACAACGGGUACAGAGGAUUAGGGUUCGAUCCUGGAGAGUGGGCCUGAGAGAUU